UACGUAGGGGGCAAGCGUUGUCCGGAUUUAUUGGGCGUAAAGAGCGUGUAGGCGGUUUGGUAGGUCCGUUGUGAAAACUCGAGGCUCAACCUCGAGACGCCGGCGGAAACCAUCAGGCUAGAGUCCGGAAGAGGAGAGUGGAAUUCCUGGUGUAGCGGUGAAAUGCGCAGAUAUCAGGAAGAACACCCGUGGCUAGGGCGGCUCUCUAGUACGGUACUGACGCUGAGACGCGAAAGCGUGGGGAGCGAACAGG
rnacentral:rRNA from 1 species